GUCGUUUAUUCUGCGACCUUAACUUUCCGUUUCCUCUUUUAAUGUGAAACUUAUUAGAAUGUCAUAAUUUCGUUACAUUUAUGUGUGUUAUGCUUUCCACUCAACACUUGUAACCUUAGUAAAUCCCCUAAUCCUAAAACGAAAAGCAUGGUUGUUUAUGUGGCAUAAUAUAGGAUUUAGUGGGCCAAUUUUGUGUCGAUUAUUGUAGCAGAAGAAAGCGUAGAUACUUUAAGCCAAACCGGUCCCUUGGUCAUUGAAAUUGGAUAUUUUUGCCAAUGGGUUCGGCAACCCAUUCACUUGGGCUUAAGCCCAUUUUAUCGACCAAACAUGUAACCGCCCAAGUUGUCAUUGGAGCACAUUAUCUAUUCCAUUGCAAACCCUAUUUCUCUCAUCAUUUGCGCACGGCAUAGCAGAUCCCUCCCCAUUCGAGAUAAUAUCUUGUGCGACCCAAAUCUUGGACGCAUUUAAUCAUUCGAUAAACAAGAACAUAAUCUACCGAGCACUCUAAGGUCGUUAGGUAGUUCGGAACAGGAACUUGCUGGC